CUCCUCUUCACUCCGCCACCAUUCUUCUCCCCCUCCGGCGAGAGCGUGCGCCCACCCCGCCAUGAAGCAGCUGCACCGGCAGUCCAGCAUUAGCAAGCAGCACCGCCCGCACCACCACCGUACCUCCCUCUCCCGCACCCUCGCUUCCUACCUCCUCCGCGAGCAGCGCCUCCUCUUCGUCCUCCUCGGCUUCCUCCUAGCCUCGUCCUUCUUCUUCCUCUACCCGCAUUCCGCCGCCGGAUCCUCCUCGGCCACCAAUAUCACCGCCGCCUUCGCCAGAAAGAACCCCCGCAGCAGCGGCGCCUCCUCCUCCGCGCGCCGCCUCCCCGUCGGUGUCCGGAAGCCCUCCCUGCGCAUCGUCGUCACCGGCGGCGCGGGUUUUGUUGGCAGCCACCUCGUCGACAAGCUCCUCGCCCGCGGGGAUAGCGUCAUCGUCGUCGACAACUUCUUCACGGGCCGCAAGGACAACGUCGCGCACCACCUCGGCAACCCGCGAUUCGAGCUCAUCCGCCACGACGUCGUCGAACCCAUUCUCCUAGAGGUCGACCAGAUCUACCACCUCGCCUGCCCCGCAUCCCCCGUGCACUACAAGUUCAACCCCAUCAAAACCAUCAAGACAAAUGUCAUGGGGACCUUGAAUAUGCUUGGACUGGCUAAGAGGGUUGGGGCUCGGUUCUUGUUGACUAGUACCAGUGAAGUGUAUGGUGAUCCUCUUGAGCAUCCACAGAAGGAGAGCUACUGGGGACAUGUCAAUCCCAUAGGUGUUAGGAGCUGUUAUGAUGAGGGGAAGAGAACAGCUGAAACUCUUACCAUGGAUUACCACCGCGGUGCUGGUGUUGAGGUGAGAAUUGCACGCAUAUUUAACACAUAUGGCCCUCGAAUGUGUUUAGAUGAUGGCCGAGUUGUUAGCAACUUUGUUGCACAGGCUUUGCGGAAACAACCAAUGACAGUUUAUGGCGAUGGAAAACAGACUAGAAGUUUUCAGUUGAUGGGUUGGUAACUCUAAUGGAAAGCGACCAUAUUGGACCAUUCAACUUGGGGAAUCCUGGAGAAUUUACAAUGCUGGAGCUUGCACAGGUGGUAAAAGAAACAAUCGACCCAGGUGCAUCUGUCGAGUUCAAACCCAAUACUGCGGAUGAUCCGCACAUGAGAAAACCUGACAUUUCGAAGGCUAAAUCUCUUCUCAAUUGGGAGCCCCAAGUUUCACUAAAACAAGGCCUGCCGCGUAUGGUCUCGGACUUCCAGAAACGCAUCAUGGAUGAGAAAUGAUGAGGAGCAGAGGUUUGUUUCGAAAAGGAAAUGAGGAGCAGACGCCACCAGUCUCAGAACACUGUAUCCUACUGACAGAUCUCUUUUGGUGCCAUGAAGGCUGAAGGCCUUGACAAAGGUCAGAUGAACGACUAAUUGCCAAAAAAUUCUUCCUCGCUCCAGGGCAAUUUUUUUUUGUGACAGGACAUCUGUUCUUUGGUUCUGGUUUCUUCGAUACAUAAACUUCGCCAUAGAAUUCCAUAGUUGCCUUUAAGCGAACAGUGAGAGGUCAACAUAAAUUUAGUCCCUCUUUCUCUCUUUCUGAUGUUAUUGAAACCCAUCCACGUCCAUUUUACGUAGGAUGAUACCAUAUUCUCAUGCUACACAUGUCCUCUAUUUCGUGUCUGAAUUUUUAGGUGAUUUUAUUACUCUUGUACAACAAACAAAUAGUUAUUUUAUGGUUCCUU